UACGAAGGGGGCUAGCGUUGCUCGGAAUCACUGGGCGUAAAGGGUGCGUAGGCGGGUCUUUAAGUCAGGGGUGAAAUCCUGGAGCUCAACUCCAGAACUGCCUUUGAUACUGAAGAUCUUGAGUUCGGGAGAGGUGAGUGGAACUGCGAGUGUAGAGGUGAAAAUUCGUAGAUAUCUGGAGGAACACCGGUGGCGAAGGCGGCAUCCUGGACCGGCAUUGACGCUGAGGCGCGAAAGCCAGGGAGCAAAGCGGG
rnacentral:rRNA from 1 species